ACGAACGCUGGCGGCGUGCCUAAUACAUGCAGGUAGAACGCACAGUUUAUACCGUAGCUUGCUACACCAUAGACUGUGAGUUGCGAACGGGUGAGUAACGCGUAGGUAACCUGCCUGGUAGCGGGGGAUAACUAUUGGAAACGAUAGCUAAUACCGCAUAAUAUUAAUUAUUGCAUGAUAAUUAAUUGAAAGGUGCAAUUGCACCACUACCAGAUGGACCUGCGUUGUAUUAGCUAGUAGGUGAGGUAACGGCUCACCUAGGCGACGAUACAUAGCCGACCUGAGAGGGUGAUCGGCCACACUGGGACUGAGACACGGCCCAGACUCCUACGGGAGGCAGCAGUAGGGAAUCUUCGGCAAUGGACGAAAGUCUGACCGAGCAACGCCGCGUGAGUGAAGAAGGGUUUCGGAUCGUAAAGCUCUGUUGUAAGAGAAGAACGGGUGUGAGAGUGGAAAGUUCACACUGUGACGGUAUCUUACCAGAAAGGGACGGCUAACUACGUG
rnacentral:rRNA from 1 species